GGGCGCGGCCGCCCCCCCCGCGGCUCGUCCGUCGCCUCCAAGCGCGCGCUGCGGGCGGAGGCCGCGGCAUGUGGGGGCGGGCUGCCAUGAGCGACCCACAGACAGAGGGUUUGGAAACAGCCGGCAGCUGCGCCUCACCUCGGCGCGGCUUUAAAAAGCUGCGAGAAGCUGCUGCCGGGGGGUUGCGCCCCCCGCGCCGGCGCCGCGGGGCUUUCCGCUUUCCUCAGGAGCCGGCGGAGCCGGGCAGCGCGACCCGGCCUCGGUGGCCGCCGGGCGGGCAGAGCCAGGGCGAAGUGAGGUCCUUCGGGCCCCGAGGGGUGGCUUUUCCGCCCAGGCAGCCGCGCCCCGCUUCAGGAACAAAACAGGGAUGUAAGAUGUGAACAAAAAGGUACAAGAAAUUGUCAGCUGCUGCCAGGAGGCACCCUUUCUCUGAUCCGCUGUACCCGUACUCCAGGUUUCUCCUGCUGUUGUGUUAUACCUGAAAACACUCAGCUACCCAAGAGCCUGGGACCAAAGGAAUCACUACUGGGACCAGAAUGUGAAUUGAGCAAGAAAAAUCACACCACCAGCCCCUGAAGCAUGCAUAAGUGUUUGAAUGCCGCUUUGUUGUUGUUGAGACUGGAGUGAAAGAACAUAAGGAAAAACAAACAGCAAAAACUAGAUUCCCUGAGGAGUUAAUUCAGCUGUGAGAUUUCCUGUUGCCCCGGCUCUCAAGCGUGCUGGAAAUGAGAGCAGCUGUUCUUGUUGAGGUCCUGCUAUUAGUCCUGCUAAAAGUCAGAUCCUGACCAUUAUUUCAGAGUUUUGGAACACUUGGCAUGAUGGCUGAGCAAAGAUCCAUGAUGCAGAAAAGUGCCCUUGCAUCCAUUUUCUCGGGACCUGUCUUGCCUAUAUUUACAGGCCGAUAUAGAAACGGCACCUAUGCUUUUGGGACGCUACUGCUCAGAGCUGGUAUCAAAAGAAAUUGGGAUUGGAGGGGUACUGCGCUGGAAAGAAUUGGGAUCCCUGUGACUCCUCUCCCUCCCUUCACACUUUUUGCAGCAUCAGCUACAUAGCUCAGAAGUACUGAAGGACGAAGUCAUUCUUUGCCCUUUACCUUCUCCCUCCUGCACAUAGCUCCAAGAGGAAAGGCAGUCAGAUGGCAUCUUGUACUUCAGAAUAGUGCCCUACUGGUCCAGAAGACAGCUUCUUACCCCAUUUUCUCUUCAUGCCUAAGGUCAGCCAUAACCUGAUCUACAGUAUACUGAGGUGCCAUUGUACUGAAAGACUAAUUCUGAUUUGGCAGGUGAGAUAAGGAGAUGCUAUGAAUAAUAAAGAACCCUAGACCUGAUCUCAUAAUAAAGUAGCUGACAAAUAUACGUAGAGAAAAAUCACAAGAUUUGCAGCAAAAAAUGAAGAAGGAGGAUGUCUUGAUAUUUCUCCUAAAUAGAAAAGAGAUUUGAGAAUCACUGCAUCAGAUCCCUGAAAUCUUAGGUCCUGUGUGCCAUGAUGGCCGACAACAAGGAGAACAAACUUCACGUAUGGUACGCAGCUGCAGAAACAUGAUACAGAUCCACAGAGGUGGUCCUGGGAUUGCCUUAGGCACCGCUUAGCAAAAUACAUACACUCUUGUCCCCUAUUUUACAAGAAACAUACUGCUCUUGACGUACCGAGCAGAACAACUCAACAGCCAGGUUUGCAAGGGGAUCCAGCUGCGUGAAGAUGAAGAGUUUUUGUUUUUAAUGCAUAGAAAAUGCUGAUGGGGACAUUAGCAUAGGGUAGGAAGGCCCAAGGAUGAAGAAUGGUGGGGAAAGAAAAGCAAAUUCACAGUAAAAAUUAGGCAGUUUAAAAAAAGUUAUUAGAAGAAACUGCUAAGGUGGAUGGUGGGUUCUCCACUUCUUCAAGUCCUCAAGUCAGCACCAGAUGUGUUUGCUGUGGUCAAGUGCAAGUUACUGAGCUCAGGAAUGGAGUAAAUGGAUUAAAUGUUGCUGACAGUGCCACAAGGAAACUCGGACUAGAAAAUCUCUUUUGGACUGAAAUCUACAGAAUAAGAAUUGCAUGGAGAUAUUAUUGAUCCAAUAACUGUAAACAAAGAAUAAUAUUAGCAUAUUCUUGAACAACCGCCAACUGAACAUAAGAUGAAUUCAUCAUGUCUUAUUUGCUACUUAGACAUUAGAAAUAAUAAAUAACAAAAGGCAGUAAUAUUUUAGCUUCUGAUUAUCAUUUACUCAAGGACCUAAGAGUACAUUCACAUACCAGUGGUUCCAUGAAUACUGUUGGGUGGUUUUGAUCCAAAGCCCAGUGAAGUCAAUGGGAAGAUUCUCCUUUUUUGAAGAAUUUCACGUCCAAUUUUCAUGUCUAAUAUGAGUAAAUACAAAAAGUCACAGAACAAGUAGCAGAGCCAGAAACUGUAUGACAGUCCUUGGUGUAGUGGUUGAACCAUUAGAUAUAUUGCAUUAAUCUGGGACGUCUUGUUCCUGGAACAGCCUAACUGAGUGCAGUAAGUAACAAGGCAGGAAUCAGUUCAUUUUUUGGGUGGCCCUUUAUGCUAACUGGAGACAGUGUUCAGAAGAAGCCUAGUCUCAAACAGAAACAAUGUCGGAUUCAUAUGCUCAAAUGUAAAUGCGAAAGAUUUUUGCUUUUGCCAUGAAGUGACUGCUGAACUGUUCAGUGCUCUGUUAGUCUGCUCCUACUUGUCUCUGGCUUUUCCCUACAGGGAAAUUUCCUGACGGUUGGCUUGACUGGCAGCUGCCAAAUGCCACAGUACAGUGAGGAGCAAACCAACAUGGCACAGAUAUUUCCGCUGGACCUUACAUUGUAAAAAAAAAAAAAAAAAAAAAAAAAAAAAAAAAGUGGAAUCCUGAAAUCUCGAAGCAUGCAAACAGAAUGUGAUUUCCAGUGCAUUUAGAGCUGUCAUGCCUUUGGGGCUAUGUCUGCUCCUUCUUCCCAGUGGUACAUGUUUUGAAGGGUGGGAUUCAUCCUAUGUAACUUCUGACAUAUGAACCCAAAGUAUCUACCUGACUUAGAGAUGUCUGAAGUUAUAUAUGUAGGUGUCCGUAGAUGAGAUGAAUUGUCCCUGUAUUCCAUCAGCUGAGCGGAAGGUGGCCAGCUCGUAUGGAGCCAUGUACAACAUAGGUUUCAACAUUUCAUCUGAUCAUGCUCACCCUUCGUGUUGCCAGUGAUUAAGGAGCAAUGUGAUUUCAAGACUAUGUUCACACUGAAGCUUUCCUUGUGAUGGCUGUUGUUUUCACAUGUUCUGUCAGGCCACUAAUAGAAAUGCUGCCCAGGAUUUCAUUGCAAACCAUCAACUCACAGCUGCAUUUCAGCAAUACAUUUCUGUGCAAGAAGUUCACUUCUGAACACCUGCAAAUAAAAAGUGACAUUGUUUGUCUCUUGUAAAAUUGGGAUGAUUUUAAAACACUCCAAAGGAUUUCUUAGUUGCCAGCUGGAAAUGUUAGUUACAUAUUGAAGCAGGGCAGAUCUGAGCAUAGAUCAGAGGUCAGAGCAUUUGUUGUACCUUGACAGCCUUGUAGUCAAGAAUCAUGUCCACCUUGUAUGUCUCAAUUUUUCAAUUUGUGAAAUAGGAAUCAGCCUUUUCCUCUCAGUUAAGUGCUUUGACUUUUACAAGUGAGAAAUGUUAAACAAACAGAUUCAAUCGGCUGCAGUCAUGGGAAUAUUUCCUUUAACUUCAGGGAGAUUUGGCUUAUGGCCUAUGUCAUAUUGUAUUGUACUGGUUCAAUUAGAAAAAGAAUAAUGAAUUAAAAGGUCAUAGCUCUUUAAAUUAAAGUGCAGGUAAAGGAUGGUAAAAUGUGGCGGGCUUUUCCUCCUUCACUGCCCUGAGCAUUUACUAUUAAGUACCAAUGGGAGCUCUUCAUCCAGCAAGUUCACUAAUCUCCUUUUAAUCUCAUUGAGUCCUGAACAUUUUCUGGAAAACAUUUUUCAGAACUAAUCUGCCCAGGCAGGGCGGGGGAAAUGUUAAAACACACAAAAAUCUGCGCAACAGGAAAUAAUGUUAGAAAGCUGUGAAAAUCAUUUAUCCUUUUGAAGCGUAAUGGUUUUUAAUUUUCUCAUGCCCUGAUCUCCCUGGCAACAAUUUAAAAGUGCAUAAGCAUUCAUGAAUCAAAGCUGUUCACGUCUGCAUUUUUAAUUAUGUGUCAUUGGAUUGAAACUUUCCCUUUGAUCUUUGCAUUUAAAGGGAUUUACAAUUUAAUGAUUACAAUCCCCUUCCCUCUCAAAGUCUAUGCUUGUUAUUGAGCAGUGUCACAAAGGAGUCCCUGUUGGACAGGGGGAAGAUAGUUCUGUGGAGGACGUUAUAAGCAGGUCUGAAACCUGCCUUAUGCUCUGACUCAUGGAGAAGAUUCUUACGUAGUGGGGCUUCCCCAUGCUGGUGACUCUAGGCCUUCUGCUGCUCUAGGCAAAACAUCUAAAAACAAAGGAAGAUAAAAAUAAAGAACAAAAAUAACCUGGUUGCCCAUUAAACAGUGCGAUGCUCUAGGCAGCUGCCUCUUGUGCCGAAGGUAAUGACUUCAGAGCCACAUAGCAUGGACAGCGUGACAAAUGGAGAUAAAAAUGCUCCUAGGUUGUAGCCAUGAGGGUAGCUGGAAGCGGUUGAUGGUUUUGAGGUGUAUGGAGCAGUUUGUCCUUGCCAGCAGAAAUCAAGCAAACAGAAGCACUUGAACACUUCAAAGUGCACACAAGCUAUUUCAUGGCGCCAGCUGGGAGGAUGAGCUCCGGGGAGGCUGGUUUCAGCGAGGCAGAAAGAAGGCCUGGUGGUAAAGUGCAGGUUGAGGGUAGGGCUGUCAGACUGCCUCCGUUUCGUUUUUAGUCCUGAAGAGAGAGCUGAGUGCUGCUGGUUUGAAGCGGGGUACAAGUGAGGAAGCCUGGGUAGGGUGAAAGCUGUGGUAGCUUUUCUGUGUAACACAGAGCUGCAGAGAAACAGGGAAUGAAAUCCCUAAACAAAUACAAGGUACAGAGACACUGUAGCUGUGAAUGCCAUAUACACAGUUACGAAGAGUGCAUGACUUUGGCGAAGUCACUUGACCUCUUCGUUUUCUCAUGGGGGAUCACAAAUGCCCAACUACAUCCUGUACGUGCACGGCAAGUUAACCCCUUCGCCACAAAAAGCACUGCGAUGCUCGCCGCUGGCACUAAAAGUUGUCAGCAGUUUCCCAUUAGAUGGGUGUAUAUGUGUGUGAUGAUGCAACGCAUAGCACAUGCUAGGUACUCUCUAAUGAGUCGCUCUUUUCAAAGCUUUUUGCUAGAUAUUUAAUUUUCUUGCUGAAUAACAGUUUAAAGGUCAUGCGGAUCAGUGACACAUGCAAAACAAAUGCAUGUUACUUUUGAUGUGCCUGUGGAAAAUUAAGGCCUUGCACGGACUGCUUUAUAUGCACAAUGUUAUUGUAUUUUCUUACAAAAAAAUCAAUAA